ACCGAUCUUCGACGCAUCUGGCGGCUCUGUUUAAUUGUCGCUAUGUUCUCGGUGUGAAGCUGUGUGGUGCCCUUUAGCGUCGUCGACACGGCGGCUGCAGCAUUGCUUUCCCUCUCUCUCUCUCUGUCUCUCACCGCAGUUCCAUUCCCGGUGGGAAUUGGGUCAGGCACCCUAUGGCGUCGUUGAGAUGGUGGUGGUCGUCUUCCUCUCUCUGUUCCAGUGAAGAUAACUCCAACGUUGGUUGGGAAUUGUUGGAGGUUGAUUCCUGUUGUAUCCAGUCCGAUCAGGUGUACAUCAAUCCCGUGAUGUCUUCUUUUCGGACUAGGAGAGGAACGGGUGGGUGAAGAUGCCCACGCCUCUGCUACUGAUCCUUCUACCUUCAGAAUUUGCAUUCUUGCUUAAACCACCAGCUCAUUUGAUUUGCUUCAUAGUGGUUUAAGUAUGCUAAUUUGAUUUGGUUAUUUUAGCAGUGAGCCACAGGUGGGAUCGGGUAAGGUAUGUUGAUUCACUGUCAACACAGAUCAAUCCGUCCGCGGUGGAUUUGAUAGUUGUAUGACGUCCGGGGUGCCGAGCAGCACCGAGAGCUCCAGUGCAGAUUGUUUGCUGGAACGCCGUCGCAGGCAACCAGAAGGUGUCCCUUUUUCUAUGCGAGACUACUAACCACAAUUAUUGGUUGCGCCUCCUCCACCCAAUUAUCUCUUGAUGUGAUUUAAUUUCAAAUAUUAGUACCUAUUGUGCUAUCGUUAUUACGUAAAUAUUAGGGGAGGAGAAUUGAUUUCAGUUCCUGAUGUUGCCGAGUAGUAUUUAUUUAGUGGCAGCUCUACUUUUUGUGCUUACAGAUUUUUCUUGGCAUAUUUUUGGAUCAGGUUCUGGCCGUUCAAGCCUUUCUGUUUCCCUGCAAAUAUUUUGUUUGCUAAUUUAGCAUCUUCUUCCCUUCCCCAUCCCCCCCUCUCUCUCUCUCCUGGCGAUGUAAGAUGGAUUGUCACUGUUUUCGCUCCAGCAACAACUGACAUUAAUUAGGUGGGGAUUAGAAAUGUUAAAUUGUUUGACUACCAUGUUCAUCAAGGCACUUGAUGUAUCUUGAUUCGGUCUCCAAAGUACUGCCUCUAUGUUGUGUUACUGGUGGAGCAUGUGUGCCGUUGAGUUUUCAUCUAGGUCAAUUCGUCCCCAUCAAAUUCACAGGCAAUUCUCCAUUGAUUGCCCACACCGCAACAGUGUUGCUAUUUUACCUCAAUACAUAUUAUAUAUUCGUUCCUGCUCCCUACCACAAUAAUACGAUUGGUACAGUUAUUUGAUUGUUUGAGUGUAUAGUUUUGUUACAUUUUCCAUUCAACUUGCAUGAUUUUACAAGUGUAUGAUAUAUAUUCUUAUGGUUUGUGAACUUCUGCUGUCAAAUUUAUAUAUGUACGGUUACCAAAGACUUUAAUUUUACCAUGUAUUUGUUCUUUCCUUUUGUCUAAUAAUAAUGCAGGAGAAAUAGUUAUCAAGAAUAAAAGUUCAUUAUGCUAAAACGAUUCUUGCUGACAGUUGAGGAAAGAGACACACUUCUUGCUGACAUUUGUUGGCAUCUACCACUUUCCUUAGUAAGAUAAAGCAUGUUUCUAUGUGUAGAUAAGAGACAUGGUGACUAAGAGGGAUGACGAGAAUCAUAUUCCUUCAAUGUUUGUGCUGCAUGCUUGAGCUUUUCCCCAAAUAUAGGGUUCCUGAAGAAUGUUUAGUUAUUUGAAGAAAUUUUCAUUUGUGGUUAUUGCUAUUUUUGUCGCAUGUAUUCGCGCAGCAACACGCGGGGUGUCAUCUAGUAUAAAUAAAGAAUGAGUUCAUUACA
rnacentral:lncRNA from 1 species